AGUAUUUAUGGGUCCGCCGCAUA
rnacentral:siRNA from 1 species